GUGGAAAGGACGGCUUCCGGGAUGUGGCUGGGCCAUUGUUUCUCGCUGUUGCUGAGCUUCACGUCUCUUUACUGUUCUGUGUCGUCAGCGUGUGUGGCUUCAUGACCUGAAGGUAUUUGGAGAUCCAUAGCUAAGAUGCCAGGACCCCCUGAAAGCCUAGAAAUGGGGCCGUUGACAUUUAGGGAUGUGGCCAUAGAAUUCUCUCUGGAGGAGUGGCAAUGCCUGGACACUGCUCAGCAAGAUUUGUAUAGGAAAGUGAUGUUAGAGAACUACAGAAACCUGGUCUUGGCAGGUAUUGAUGUCUCUAAGCCAAAUCUGAUCACCUGUCUGGAGCAAGGAAAAGAUCCCUGGAAUAUGAAGAGACACAGUAUGAUAGUGAAACCCCCAGUUAUAUGUUCUCAUUUUGCUGAAGACCUUUGCCCAGGGCCAGGCAUUAAAGAUUCUUUUCAAAAAGUGAUACUGAGAGAAUAUGUAAAAUGUGGACACAAGGAUUUACAGUUAAGAAAAGGCUGUAAAAGUGUGAAUGAGUGUAAUGUGCACAAAGAAGGUUAUAAUGAACUAAACCUGUGUUUGACAACUACCCAAAGAAAAAUAUUUCAAUGUGAUAAAUAUGUGAAAGUCUUCCACAAAUUUUUAAAUUCAAAUAGACAUAACACAAAACAUACUAGAAAGAAACCUUUCAAAUGUAAAAAAUGUGGCAAAUCAUUUUGCAUGCUUUUACACCUACGUCAGCAUAAAAGAAUUCAUAUUAGAGAGAAUUCUUACCAAUGUGAAGAAUGUGGCAAAGCGUUUAUCUGGUUCUCAAUCCUUACUAGACACAGGAGGGUUCAUACUGGAAAGAAAUCCUACAAAUACGAAGAAUGUAGCAAAGCUUUUAACCAGGACUCAAACCUUUCUACACAUAAGAGAAUUCAUACUGGACAGAAAUCCUACAAAUGUGAAGAAUGUGGCACAGCUUUCUACCAAUUCUCACACCUUACUAGGCAUAAGUUAAUUCAUACUGGAGAGAAACCCUACAAAUGUGAAGAAUGUGGCAAAGCUUUUAACCGAUCUUCAGCCCUUACUAGACAUAAGAUAAUUCAUACUGGAGAAAAACCCUAUAAAUGUGAAGAAUGUGGCAAAGCCUUUAGUGUUUUCUCAACCCUUACUAAACAUAAGAUAAUUCACACUGAAGAGAAACCCCACAGAUGUGAAGAAUAUGGCAGAGCUUAUAAGGAGUCCUCACACCUUACUACACAUAAAAGAAUUAAUACUGGAGAGAAACCAUACAAAUGUGAAGAAUGUGGCAAAACCUUUAGUAUAUUCUCAAUCCUUACUAAACAUAAGAUAAUUCAUACAGAAGAGAAACCCUACAAAUGUGAAGAAUGUGGCAAAGCUUUUAAACGAUCUUCAACCCUUACUAACCACAAGAUAAUUCAUACUGAAGAGAAACCCUACAAAUGUGAAGAAUGUGGUAAAGCUUUUAAACAAUCUUCAACCCUUACUAUACAUAAAAUAAUUCAUACUGGAGAAAAACCCUACAAAUGUGAAGAAUGUGGCAAAGCUUUUAAGCGAUCUUCAACCCUUACUAUACAUAAAAUAAUUCAUACUGGAGAAAAACCGUACAAAUGUGAAGAAUGUGGCAAAGCUUUUAAUCGGUCCUCACACCUUACUACACAUAAGAGAAUUCAUACUGGACAGAAACCCUACAAAUGUAAAGAAUGUGGCAAAUCCUUUAGUGAAUUCUCAACACUUACUAAACAUAAGAUAAUUCAUACUGAAGAGAAACCCUACAAAUGUGAAGAAUGUGGCAAAGCUUUUAACCGAUCUUCAGUCCUUAGUAUACAUAAGAAAACUCAUACUGGAGAAAAACCCUACAAAUGUGAAGAAUGUGGCAAAGCUUUUAAGCAGUCCUCACACCUCGCUGGGCAUAAGCAUGUUCAUGGUGGACAGAAACCCUACAAAUGUGAAUCAUGUGGCAAAGCCUUUAGUAUAUUCUCAACCCUUACUAAACAUAAGAUAAUUCAUACUGAAGAGAAACCCUACAAAUGUGAAGAAUGUGGCAAAACUUUCUACCGAUUCUCAAACCUUAAUACGCAUAAGAUAAUUCAUACUGGAAAGAAACCCUGCAAAUGUGAAGAAUGUGGCAAAGCUUUUAACCAUUCCUCAAACCUUACUAAACAUAAGCUAAUUCAUACUGGAGACAAACCCUACAAAUGUGAACAAUGUGGCAAAGCUUUUAGGCGGUCUUCACAUCUUAGUAGACAUAAGAUAAUUCACAAUGUGGCAAAAGCCUCUUCCCUUAAAGAAUGUGGCAAAGCUUUUAAUCAGAACUUCACCCUUACUACACAUAAGAUAAUUCAUGCUGGAGAGGAACCAUACAAAUGUGAAGAAUGUGGCAAAGAUUUCUAUUAAUUCUUAUACCUUACUAAAUAUAAUUCAUAUUGGAGAGAAAUUCUACAGAUGUGAAGAAUGUGGCAAAGGCUUUAAUUAGUUCUCAUCCCUUACUAAACAUAAGAGAACUCAUACCAUAGAGAAAUCCUACAAAUGUGAAGAAUGUGACAAAGCUUUUAACCACUUCUCAACUCCGCCUACGUAUAAGAUAAUUCAUGCUGGAAGGAAACCCUACAAAUAUGAAGAAUGUCUCAAAGCUUUUUACUGAUUCUUAUACCUUACUAAACAUAAAAUAAUUCAUAAAGGAGAGAAAUUAUACAAAUGUGAAGAAUGUGGCAAAGCUUUUAACAAAUCCUUGUCCAUUACUAAACAUAAGAUAAUUCAUACUGGAGAGAAAACCUACAAACGUGAGGAAUGUGGCAAAGCCUUUAGCCUGUCCAACUUACUGCGCAUAAGAUAGUUUAUACUUGAGAGAAGCCCUACAAAUGUGAAAAAUGUGGCAAACCUUUUAACCAAUCCUCAAUGCUUGUUACACAUUAGAUAAUUCAUGCUGGAGAAAAACCCUACAAAUGUGAAAAAUGUGGCAAAGCUUUUAACCAAUUUUCAAACCUAAGAAAAUUUUCAAACCUAAGAAAAUACUAAACAUAAGAUAACUAAUACUGGAGAAAAAUCUUAGAAAUGUGAAGAAUGUGGUAAAGCCUUUAUCCAGUCCUCAACUCCUACUAAACAUAAUGAUGGAGAUAAACCGUACAACUGUGAAGAAUGUGGCAAAGCUUUUAACAAGUCCUCAAACCUUAUUGAACAAAAUAAUUCAUACAGGAGAGAAACCCUACAAAUGUGAAGAAUGUGACAAAGCCUUUAACCAGUCAUCAAGUUUUACUAAACAUAAGAAAAUUCAUACUGGAGAGAAACCCUAUGAUUGUGAAAAAUACGGCAAAGGCUUUAACUAGUCCUCAGUUCUUAACACACAUGAGAUAAUUCAUACUGGAGAGAAACUCUACAAACCAGAAAGAUGUGGCAAUGCUUCUGACAACACCUCAAACUUUUCUAACCAUAAAAGAAAUCAUAUUAGUGAGAAAUCCUAGAAAUGUGGAGAAUGUAACAAAGUAUUUAAAUGGUUGUCACACUUGAUUAUAGGUAAUAUACUGGAAAAAAUUCCUACAAGUGAGAACAAUGUGGCAAAAUUUUUAACUAAUACAUCUUAUUGCACAGAAAAUCAUUUAUAUUUGAGAAAAAUUGUACAAAUAUAGACUAUGAAAAAGACGUCAGUAUCUGCUCACAUCUUAACACCAGAGAGUUCAUGCUUAAUAAAAGCAUGACAAGUACAAUUACUGUCAAAAGAUGUUUCAGAAAAUAUUAUCCUUUAAAGUGAAGGAGAGUAUAUUAAAGACGAACAUUACAAACAUAAAAGGUUGUAGUACUUGUAUUGGAUCUUAUUGUCUACAUUUUGUACUAGAGAAAAACUGAAGGGGUUGCUCAAACUUUAUUCAACAUCAGGGAAUUUAUAUUGGAGAAUUGUCUUGCAAAUGUAAUAAAUUUGGGAAAAGACUUUUUCAAAAACUACAGCUUAGCAAAUACCAGAGUUUAUACUAAAAUAUAUUUUCAAAGAUGUAGUAAAAAUAAAAAAAUUCAAUCCAAAUUUAAGUCUAUGUAAAUACCAGAAUUUAUAGUAGAAAUAUAUGAGGAACUGACACUUCAAAUAUUCUAAAUCAGAGUUCUGAGUAUAUAAAAUAAAACUAAAGUUGGUAGAAAAGUUAUUUGUAUAUAGUGUUAGGAGUAAAAGAUUUGCAGAGUAAUAACUAUAUUCAGAUCAUAAAUUCUUGAAAAAAUUACAGGUUUUUUGAAAAGCAAAUGAUGUAACUCAACUCUUUAUUUUCUGCUGUUUCUUCAUUCCUGACUUGUGAAAACAUGUUAUCAUUUGUUGCUGCAUCAGAGGUAUGAGAUUCUUUUUCAUUAGGAGGGCAUUUAUUAUCUUUUUUAUGGAUGAGUAAGUAUUAAAAUGUAAGAUGUAUGAUGAAAAUCUAAGUGGAGAGGUUCUUUGUGGUUAACUUAUACUAUUGAGUGAUGCACGAGUAAGGUGUUAAGAGUAAUAUUCUUUUGCAUUAUGAGAAAACUAGUAGUAUAUUUGUAUGUUGUACUAAUUGUGCUUUUAUAUGAUAAAAUGCAGUACAUUUUUAAAAUUUUAAAUUAUGUGUAAAUGUAACUGUUUCAACAUU